rnacentral:rRNA from 1 species
UACAGAGGGUGCAAGCGUUAAUCGGAAUUACUGGGCGUAAAGCGUGCGUAGACGGUCAUGUAAGUCGGGUGUGAAAGCCCCGGGCUCAACCUGGGAAUUGCAUUCGAGACUGCAUGGCUAGGGUGCGGAAGAGGGAAGCGGAAUUUCCGGUGUAGCGGUGAAAUGCGUAGAUAUCGGAAGGAACAUCAGUGGCGAAAGCGGCUUCCUGGACCAGCACCGACGUUCAGGCACGAAAGCGUGGGGAGCAAACAGG